GGUCGAUGCCACAGCUAUCAAGUAACCUCUUAGGUAAUUUCUGAAAACAGUUGACAUGAUAUAUGAUCAUGUCACGUGCAAUUAUCAACAAAGCAUACACUUCAAGACACAUAUAUCAUUGGAUUCAACACUGAGCAUAUAUAUCAUCACAUCACUACACUAUACGCCAAGCAUCAAAUUACUACAGUAAUUAGGCAUAUCAUUAGAUUACUCCGUACACUAAGCAUAUCAUCGCAUAUUACUACACUACACGCAUGUCAUAAAAUUCUUCACUAAAUGAAUUCUAAACUUGGCCUCUCAUCACAGUACUACAACAUGCAUAUCAUAUGAAGUACUACACUAACUAAGCAUGCAUAUCAUGUAAUUACCACACUAAGUAACAUACCAUAAUAUGCCGUUUAACAUUCGUCCUUGUGAGGCGGGUCAUGAAUGGCUUCCCUAGGUAGUCUUCACGUAGCAGAAGCAUGUCCCAGAGGUUGCCGAUUUCCUCGUCGCCCAGGCUGAGUCCUUGGGCAUACAGGUAUUCAACAAGUGGGUUCUCAUCAUCAUCUGAAUC
rnacentral:lncRNA from 1 species